rnacentral:rRNA from 1 species
GGCGAACGCUGGCGGCGUGCUUAACACAUGCAAGUCGAACGGUAAGGCCCUUCGGGGUACACGAGUGGCGAACGGGUGAGUAACACGUGGGUGAUCUGCCCUGCACUUCGGGAUAAGCCUGGGAAACUGGGUCUAAUACCGGAUAGGACCCUGGGAUGCAUGUCCUGGGGUGGAAAGCUUUUGCGGUGUGGGAUGGGCCCGCGGCCUAUCAGCUUGUUGGUGGGGUGAUGGCCUACCUAGGCGACGACGGGUAGCCGGCCUGAGAGGGUGACCGGCCACACUGGGACUGAGAUACGGCCCAGACUCCUACGGGAGGCAGCAGUGGGGAAUAUUGCACAAUGGGCGCAAGCCUGAUGCAGCGACGCCGCGUGAGGGAUGACGGCCUGCGGGUUGUAAACCUCUUUCAGCACCGACGAAGCGCAAGUGACGGUAGGUGCAGAAGAAGGACCGGCCAACUACGUGCCAGCCGCCGCAGUAA